CCGGUGCUGGAUGGCGUCGGCGUCGCGUCGCUGCUGGCGGUGCCCGGCGUGCUGCCGUCGGUUGCCGCCGGCGUGCUGGCC
rnacentral:tRNA from 1 species